GCCGUCUACAGUGGCAAUGAAGGACUACUUGUGAUGCAGCUAUCGGGUCUCUAUGCUUUCGAAAGCGAUCCGUCUUUUUGCGAGUCAAUCAGAGCUUGUUUUGUGUUAGUGGUAUUGAAUGAUGAACAUCAUGGUUUCACUUAUAUCGUGGGGGAUGAGAUCACUUGGUGUGGAUGCAGGCUCGUGGUAUGGAAGAAUAAGAACUAAGCCGAUCAUAGACUAGCAUCUACUCUGGGUUGACUCGAGGCUUAGUACGACGAAUGCAGUUAGAGUGCUGCAUCCUUCUGCUUCCUUUUUUCGGAAUGAAGACGACGCCACAAGCAAACAACGGUGUUUAGCCAUUAGUAACAGCCAUCGUUAACUUCGUCCUUGCUUCAAAAGAAGAUGCAACUACUAACUAGUAGAGAGAAGCUAAUACGUGUAUAUUUGAUUUUUUUUUAUGUAGUAGACUGUGCAGCACCACCUACUCUGCAGGGGGGGGGAACAUGGCCCAUUCCGGAUGGAACUUGUUGUGUUAGCUCAUGCACACAAUACCACAGGAGACGUUGCAUCUCCACAACCUACCUACUACGUCCAGACAACAACAUCGAUGGACCUGCCGGCAGCUUGCUCAUGAAGUUGUGUUCGUAUGCAGCCUAUGUGUUAUGUGAGUUUAUUGGAAGAAGAACCGCGUGGUCUCGAUGGUGGUGAAGUGCAUCUCUUUCCUCGUCGGUGUCUCCUCCUAGUGCUUCUUUCUCCUCUUGCUCUACCCCGAUUACCUUUCUUAUAUAGAGAGUUCACUCAUGCCUCUCUACCACCACGACUAGCAGAUGGUCACUCUCGUUGAAGUUGGCUUCAUCUCUCGUCCACAUGGAACAACAACGCAAAAGCCUAUAGCAGCGUUAUAGUUGGCAAGUAUAAUACAACAUAGAGUAAUAAGGUGGGGGCGGCGGGACACAAACCUCAUCCUGGUUGUUGCUUACUUAGUCUUCUUUCUCUCUUACCCAACCCCACCCACAAGGAGCUUACCUAUCCUGGCGCAUACUAUAUGGCAGCACAACGAGUAAGCACUUAUUAUAACUCUGCAUAAUAGCUUUUCUCUGACAUAACACGAAGAAGGCUGCUCUUGCGGUGUCUCUAUUCUAUUAUCUAUGGUGGGGACGACUAGAACGAGCUAGGGCUUUUGGUUUACCUAUGUAUUAUUAUAUAUAUUUGAAAUAGUUGUUUAAUGCGCUAAUGGGCUAAACAACUACCUGAACGACUGAAGAAAGGGCUGCUCUCGCUCCUAAGGUAUGGACGGAACAACCUGCUUCACAAAGGUUACUACGAUCCACUAGUGCUUCUUUGCCGAAAACACAGUUAGGUAUCAAAGAAAGAGAUGGGUGCUUUGUUCGAUGUCGGUAUGGAUGAAAGUCCAGAGUCCUUUCCAGAGAUUAGUUCAUAGCAGCAUUGAAACUAUCAUUACUUGGGCACCAAGUUUUGAGCUUGUCUACCCCCGCCGUAAGUUGACUUUCCGAGAUGGUGAAUGGACCAUUAGUAGUUGAAUCAGAAGCAGCAACUUCAUCAUCCACUGACCUCGAUGUACGCUCGUUGUUCGUUUAGUCUGCUUUUUAGUGGUGCUUGUCUUCAAACUCCCCGAUAGCUCCUCAACAAGGCCACGACAUUGGAGUUCCCCCAGGCUUCCGAGUCGUCUACAUUGGUUUUGCUUUUUGGCUUCAAGUAUAAACUGGUUAGCAUGCCACUCGAAAAAGGCAGUGUUUUUGUGCUUCGUUUAGCAUCUCAUAAUAUAUAUAAGUUGCUCGGUGUCUGAGGGAACCUGUAGUCUAUAGUAGUAACCCCGGUAGUAGUAGGAUAAUAGAUAAACAACAUGAGGGCGAAAAGCCUAUACUACUGAAUAAACACAAGUAGAGGAUGCGCUCA
rnacentral:lncRNA from 1 species